rnacentral:lncRNA from 1 species
GCUAUAGAUACUUUAGAACUUACAGGUUCUCUUCCUACAGAAAUGGGAGAGACCAGGAUAAGAACCAGAGGAAAUAGAGUAUUCUAGUUUGUUGGACCAAAGCAUAAAAGAAGGGCGAAAGUUUAGAUAUUCCUAACAAUAUGAAGGAAAUUAAUUCUGAAGACCUCUAACAGUCCUGGAAGUCUUGGAUUUGAUCUGUUUAUGUAUGCAAGUGUGAAAAGGAUUAAGGGAAGGAGAAGGAAGAAGGAAUGAAGAGUGGAUAAGAUAGAAGGAAAAAGGAGACGUUCAAGGAGACCCAAGAAAAGAAGACCUGAUUUUCUCACAACUGCCUUCUGAGCCUGGUUGGAGAAUUUCAUACCAUCCCCUGAUGUCUUCUGAGUUUCCAUUUGCUCUUCUUCUGAGACAUUUCUUCAAAAUUCAACUUUUUCAUU